rnacentral:rRNA from 1 species
CAGCCGCCACGGUAAUACGUAGGGUGCAAGCGUUAAUCGGAAUUACUGGGCGUAAAGCGUGCGCAGGCGGUUCUAUAAGACAGAUGUGAAAUCCCCGGGCUCAACCUGGGAACUGCAUUUGUGACUGUAGAGCUGGAGUGCGGCAGAGGGGGAUGGAAUUCCGCGUGAAGCAGUGAAAUGCGUAGAUAUGCGGAGGAACACCGAUGGCGAAGGCAAUCCCCUGGGCCUGCACUGACGCUCAUGCACGAAAGCGUGGGGAGCAAACAGGAUUAGAUACCCCCGUAGUCCCUGUCUCUUAUAC